GUGGGGGAUAUUGCACAAUGGGGGCAACCCUGAUGCAGCGACGCCGCGUGGGUGAUGGAGUACUCCGGUAUGUAAAGCCCUAUCAGCAGGGAAGAAAAUCCAGACGGUACCUGACUAAGAAGCCCCGGCUAAAUACGUGCCAGCAGCCGCGGUAAUACGUAUGGGGCAAGCGUUAUCCGGAUUUACUGGGUGUAAAGGGAGCGUAGGCGGCUUAGCAAGCCUGAUGUGAAAUACCGGGGCCCAACCCCGGGGCUGCAUUGGGAACUGUUAGGCUGGAGUGCCGGAGAGGCAGGCGGAAUUCCUAGUGUAGCGGUGAAAUGCGUAGAUAUUAGGAGGAACACCAGUGGCGAAGGCGGCCUGCUGGACGGUGACUGACGCUGAGGCUCGAAAGCGUGGGGAGCAAACAGGA
rnacentral:rRNA from 1 species